AACGAACGCUGGCGGCAUGCCUAACACAUGCAAGUCGAACGAGACCUUCGGGUCUAGUGGCGCACGGGUGCGUAACUCGUGGGAACCUGCCCUUAGGUUCGGAAUAACUCCCCGAAAGGGGUGCUAAUACCGGAUAAUGUCUUCGGACCAAAGAUUUAUCGCCUUUGGAUGGGCCCGCGUUGGAUUAGCUAGUUGGUAGGGUAAAAGCCUACCAAGGCGACGAUCCAUAGCUGGUCUGAGAGGAUGAUCAGCCACACUGGGACUGAGACACGGCCCAGACUCCUACGGGAGGCAGCAGUGGGGAAUAUUGGACAAUGGGCGAAAGCCUGAUCAAGCAAGGCCGCGUGAGUGAUGAAGGCCUUAGGGUUGUAAAGCUCUUUUACCCGGGAUGAUAAUGACAGUACCGGGAGAAUAAGCUCCGGCUAACUCCGUG
rnacentral:rRNA from 1 species